AGAUUAAGCCAUGCAUGUAUAAGUAUAAACGCUUUAAGCGUGAAACCGCGAACGGCUCAUUACAACAGCUAUAAUUUACUUGAUCUUGACAAACUUACAUGGAUAACUGAGGUAAUUCUUGAGCUAAUACAUGCACCAAAGCUUUGACCGUAAGGGAAGAGCGCAUUUAUUAGAACAAAACCAAACGGCUUCGGCUGUUCCCAGUUGAAUCAGAAUAACUCAGCUGAUCGUACGGUCUUGCACCGACGACGUGUCUUUCAAGUAUCUGCUUUAUCAACUUUCGAUGGUAGGGUAUCUGCCUACCAUGGUGGUGACGGAUAACGGAGGAUCAGGGUUCGACUCCGGAGAAGGGGCCUGAGAAAUGGCCACUACGUCUAAGGAUGGCAGCAGGCGCGCAAAUUACCCACUCUCAGAAUUUGGAGGAGGUAGUGACGAGAAAUAACGAGGUUGAUCUCUUCUGAGGCCAACCAUCGGAAUGGGUACAAUUUAAACCCUUUAACGAGUAUCUAUGAGAGGGCAAGUCUGGUGCCAGCAGCCGCGGUAAUUCCAGCUCUCAAAAUGCAUAGAAUUAUUGCUGCGGUUAAAAAGCUCGUAGUUGGAUCUGCAGCCGGAGCUCCGGUCCAUCUUCGGAUNUGUACUGGAUGUCUCCGGCUUUCUGACAGUGUUCGGCUCUGUGCCUCUAACCAGGUGUGGAUGUCCGAUACUGUAAGUUUACUUUGAAUAAAUCAGAGUGCUCUAAACAGGCGUUUUGCUUGAAUGAUUGUGCAUGGAAUAAUAGAAGAGGAUUUCGGUUCUAUUUUAUUGGUUUUAUAGACUGAGAUAAUGGGUAACAGAGACAAACGGGGGCAUUUGUAUGGCUACGUGAGA
rnacentral:rRNA from 1 species